rnacentral:lncRNA from 1 species
UUAUUGCUAACAAGCGAGGGGGGAGGAGGGGAAGGAGGAGGUGAAGCGGAAAGCAACGAGGCACAAGAGAACGAUUUCCCCUGUAGACGCUGUGCAGAUAAGACGUGUGUGCGCCAAGAAGUGUUGUAUACAACAACGAAGUCAUACCGGCCGCCCCCUAAACAUGGGACAAACAAGUCUCGGGGCUUCGUGCAAGAGAUGGAACACGUCUCGGCGCAUGUCUGGCACCGACGUCCCUACAUCUGCGCACUUCCAACUUGGUAGAAUCACAUCGGUUCCACCCGAGGAACUCCUUAGCCACACCGGUUGUCUAGAGAUCUGUACGCGCCCAAGCGUCUGAGAAGCCUCGGUAUCCUCAUCCGUGUCCAUGUGAUAGCAGUCCAUCUCCAGGUCGUCCGUCCUCUUCAGAAGAGGACGCACGCCGCGGAGGCGUGUGGUCCGGCACAGGCCGUUUUAACUCCUUCAUUGGAGGCGUCCUGCCACUACUUAAGGGAGAACCAAACCAUCGGCAUCGUGUCGUAACCUGCGGCAGGAAACUGGCUCCUCUAUCACUGGAGGACUCAGAUUCUCGCUGCAUCUUCCACGGAGGAACUGGACCCUGCCUGGCACCAGCUCUAACCUGACAACGUGGUGCUGGAGGGAAGAACGACUACCUCGCAUUAUCCAAACCAGCGUGUCGUAACAACCUGCGGCAGGAAACUGGCUCCUCUAUCACUGGAGGACUCAGGUUCUCGCUGCAUCUUCCACGGAGGAACUGGACCCUGCCUGGCACCAGCUCUAACCUAACAACGUGGUGCUGGAGGGAACAACUACCUCGCUUUAUCUAACCUAACCAAUACAUGUUGCCAUCACUCUUGUAAUAGUAUCACUUCUAUCUGAUGUGUAUGUAUCCACCACAAGUGUAAUACUAUUCCUUACUUUAUCUAAUCAAACCAAUACAUGUUGCUAAUCA